GCAAUUGUUGUUCCAAUCGAUUCACUUGUUCGUCUUUCAUUUGCAUUUGUUCUUGCAUUGCCUUCAUUUGAAUCUCCAGUUGAAUCUCCACGUCUGAUGGUGUUGAAGAAAAUCUCGACUUUCCAAUCCUUGUGCUUGAACUUUUAAUUCCAAGGCCUUUACUCUUUCCCAAAACCUUUUCAAUUGCAGUCGAGUUGGCCGUGCUUUCGUCACUUCCAUCACGCAUGGUCUCAUC
rnacentral:lncRNA from 1 species